rnacentral:rRNA from 1 species
GACGGAAGGUGCAAGCGUUGCUCGGAAUCACUGGGCGUAAAGGGUGCGUAGGCGGCCGUGCAAGUCUGGCGUGAAAGCCCCGGGCUCAGCCCGGGAAGUGCGCUCGAAACUGCGCGGCUCGAGUGCCGGAGGGGAGAGUGGAAUUCCUGGUGUAGCGGUGAAAUGCGUAGAUAUCAGGAGGAAUACCGGUGGCGAAAGCGACUCUCUGGACGGCAACUGACGCUGAGGCGCGAAAGCCAGGGGAGCAAACGGG